rnacentral:rRNA from 1 species
UACGGAGGGUGCAAGCGUUAUCCGGAUUCACUGGGUUUAAAGGGUGCGUAGGUGGGCUUGUAAGUCAGUGGUGAAAUCUCCGGGCUUAACUCGGAAACUGCCAUUGAUACUAUAAGUCUUGAAUACCAUGGAGGUGAGCGGAAUAUGUCAUGUAGCGGUGAAAUGCUUAGAUAUGACAUAGAACACCAAUUGCGAAGGCAGCUUACUACACAGUUAUUGACGCUGAGGCACGAAAGCGUGGGGAUCAAACAGG